CCCAGACUCCUACGGGAGGCAGCAGUGGGGAAUAUUGCACAAUGGGGGAAACCCUGAUGCAGCGACGCCGCGUGAGUGAAGAAGUAUUUCGGUAUGUAAAGCUCUAUCAGCAGGGAAGAAAAUGACGGUACCUGAUUAAGAAGCCCCGGCUAACUACGUGCCAGCAGCCGCGGUAAUACGUAGGGGGCAAGCGUUAUCCGGAUUUACUGGGGGUAAAGGGAGCGUAGACGGCAGCGCAAGUCUGAAGUGAAAUGCCGGGGCUUAACCCCGGAACUGCUUUGGAAACUGUGCAGCUAGAGUGCAGGAGAGGUAAGUGGAAUUCCUAGUGUAGCGGUGAAAUGCGUAGAUAUUAGGAGGAACACCAGUGGCGAAGGCGGCUUACUGGACUGUAACUGACGUUGAGGCUCGAAAGCGUGGGGAGCAAACAGGAUUAGAUACCCCAGUAUC
rnacentral:rRNA from 1 species